CAAGUCGAGGGGCAGCAUCAUCAAAGCUUGCUUUGAUGGAUGGCGACCCGCUCACGGGUGAGUAACACGUAUCCAACCUGCCGACAACACUGGGAUAGCCUUUCGAAAGAAAGAUUAAUACCGGAUGGCAUAGUUUUCCCGCAUGGGAUAAUUAUUAAAGAAUUUCGGUUGUCGAUGGGGAUGCGUUCCAUUAGGCAGUUGGCGGGGUAACGGCCCACCAAACCAACGAUGGAUAGGGGUUCUGAGGGGAGGGUCCCCCACAUUGGAACUGAGACACGGUCCAAACUCCUACGGGAGGCAGCAGUGAGGAAUAUUGGUCAAUGGACGAGAGUCUGAACCAGCCAAGUAGCGUGAAGGAUGACUGCCCUAUGGGUUGUAAACUUCUUUUAUACGGGAAUAAAGUUAGCCACGUGUGGCUUUUUGUAUGUACCGUAUGAAUAAGGAUCGGCUAACUCCGUGCCAGCAGCCGCGGUAAUACGGAGGAUCCGAGCGUUAUCCGGAUUUAUUGGGUUUAAAGGGAGCGUAGGCGGGUUGUUAAGUCAGUUGUGAAAGUUUGCGGCUCAACCGUAAAAUUGCAGUUGAUACUGGCGACCUUGAGUGCAACAGAGGUAGGCGGAAUUCGUGGUGUAGCGGUGAAAUGCUUAGAUAUCACGAAGAACUCCGAUUGCGAAGGCAGCUUACUGGAUUGUAACUGACGCUGAUGCUCGAAAGUGUGGGUAUCAAACAGGAUUAGAUACCCUGGUAGUCCACACAGUAAACGAUGAAUACUCGCUGUUGGCGAUAUACAGUCAGCGGCCAAGCGAAAGCAUUAAGUAUUCCACCUGGGGAGUACGCCGGCAACGGUGAAACUCAAAGGAAUUGACGGGGGC
rnacentral:rRNA from 1 species